rnacentral:rRNA from 1 species
UAGGGAAUCUUCGGCAAUGGACGAAAGUCUGACCGAGCAGCGCCGCGUGAGUGAAGAAGGGUUUUUCGGAUCGUAAAACUCUGUUGGUAGAGAAGAACGUUGGUGAGAGUGGAAAGCUCAUCAAGUGACGGUAACUACCCAGAAAAGGGACGGCUAACUACGUGCCAGCAGCCGCGGUAAUACGCAGGUCCCGAGCGUUGUCCGGAUUUAUUGGGCGUAAAGCGAGCGCAGGUGGUUUAUUAAGUCUGGUGUAAAAGGCAGUGGCUCAACCAUUGUAUGCAUUGGAAACUGGUAGACUUGAGUGCAGGAGAGGAGAGUGGAAUUCCAUGUGUAGCGGUGAAAUGCGUAGAUAUAUUGGAGGAACACCGGUGGCGAAAGCGGCUCUCUGGCCUGUAACUGACACUGAGGCUCGAAAGCGUGGGGAGCAAACA